rnacentral:rRNA from 1 species
GCAAGUCGAACGAGGAAUUACCUUCGGGUAUAGUACUAGUGGCGCACGGGAGAGGAACACGUAGGUAAUUUGCCCUAGGGCGGGGAACAACCAACCGAAAGGUUGGCUAAUACCCCGUAAGACCACGAUCACUAAUGUGAACGAGGUAAAAGAUUUAUCGCCCUAGGAUAAGCCUGCGCCCCAUUAGCUUGAUGGUAGGGUAACGGCCUACCAUGGCUACGAUGGGUAACUGGUCUGAGAGGAUGAUC